UGACUACUCUUUUAUACUAGUAUUUGAUGGGUGGGUGUUGUGUUCAUGUAUGUCUCAGUCCUAUUGUGACCUUUAAGCAUCUCUACUGUAUGUUGUAACUGUGUGAAGGGACUUUGUGGUACGGUUCAUGAGGAGAGAACAGAAGAGAGCUCCAUUUCUUUUACUACACCAGAUGACUUUUGAGAUAAGAAGUUCAGACUACGACUAGUCAGACCCCAUCCACGCAAUGUGCCUGGACCGGCUUUCGGUGUCCAAUAGAAAAUAUACACAUCAUGGCUUAAUCAGGCCAUCACUAACUUUGAAGAUACCAAGAGUUCAUGACCACAUCAAGCCUUGCAGUUAUAGGAUUCAGAACCUAGGUAAUACUCCAGGCGUGCCAUUCAACCAUACAACAUCAUUCAAAUCAUUGAUUAGAAUUCAGAAUCAGAACUACUGGAGCAACUAACAACAGCAUUAGAGGCUUCAUCAAAUCUCCUGAUAACAUUAUAGUCACCCAUGUGUGGAACUUGCCAACUUCCAUUCCUCUGUAAAAGCCUUGUGUUUUCUUCCCAUCAUCAUCCCAAACCUCCGUACUCGAUCUCUGGGGGUUCGUUUCACAGCUUUUCCUUUCUCGAAUUCUGCUUUCCAUUCAUUUUGAAUGAAUCCAACUACUAACAUUACUAAAAUACUGGGGCAAUUGUUCGAUCAACCAACGACAUGAGAGUGAAGAUAACAGAUUUCAAUAGAUUAUUCAGGUAUUGAGAUAGAUAACACUCAUUUCUUCUAAGGUAAAUACAUACCAUGUACACCUCUUUCGUCCAAACCACUAGCCAGCGAAAACCCUGCCCAACAAUUUUAUAAUUUACCAAUGAGCCUUGACGAAGCACGUAAAAUGGAUAUCAGUAUUCAGCUGUCACAAGGCAUGAUAUGUUAGGCAAAACCACUUUCUAUUGUGAUCGAGAUUUUGAAGCAGAAUUUAAGAACUGUUAUAUGUGACCGAGACACUGGAUGAGAGAUAACAACCGAUGAAAAUCAUCAAAUUGUCGAAACACAAACAGAAACCUGAGGAUUCAUCAAAGUAGCAUUAGCACAAAACCAUCAGUUUGAUUUACCUUUAGUAUGAAACCACAAUAGCUCCUAGCAACAAGCAACCUUCAGCACAUAUAUUUCUCGAACAAGCUUGCGACGUAAUUUUUAUACACACCAUCAAUCAUCCCAUACAACUUUCCAGAGAUAUUUAUCUACAAGAGAGGCACACGGUUUACAGUAGUGCCUAUUUCAUUCCAACACUCGAUGAAAUUCUUUGAACACUGUUCAUUGACUGAUGUAUACCCUUAGAAAAACCAGCAACUUUUUCGGAACCCUUCUUGUUUUGACUAGUAGGAGAUGAGGGCAUGUUACACGAGUAAACUCCCAUUAGAAAAAGCAGUAACUUUUCCACACCCUUUGCAUAAUCACCAACCCACAUUAGGCCAAGUCUCUUAUACUGAGUCUUCGUAAGGGUCUACAAACGCCAAAAGUAAAUUUUCCCGCACCAAUUGAUAAGAAUUUUGGGUAUCAUUCACAUCACUGCUGUUACAAGCACAAUUCACUCUGAAUCAACUCACCAAUGAAAAAACACAUAAAAGUAACUUUAGGGCCUUCAUAAAAAUAUCACUUACUUCACUUCAGCACUUCUCCGAAUCCGCUAAUCCUCUUCCAAAUAUUUAUCACACCAUAAAGAUGCAAUAUCCUUUCUAAUACCUUCCUUCAAGGGUUUAGCUCAGCACCAUUUUUUCACAAAAUGCAUGUCACCCACUUACAUUUCAUCAGUGAAAUCUUAAGCUCACAAUUUCAUGUAGCAUUAGGUGGUUACCUUCUAGGACUCUGACUUUGAAGCACAAUGGCAAGGGCAGAAGCUAGCAGCAAAAAAAGUUUCCCGUGGCACCGGAUGAGAUCAACAAAACUCUCAACGAGCAUGUUGAUACUCGACAGUCAGAAGAGUCUCCUACACACACUGAUGAUGAAUUACAGCACUGGGAUUGUGAACCUCAGCAAGAGGAUACACCAAUUGUUGAACCAAAUACAAUCGUUGCUGAGACAGAGAUAGAAACAGGACGUGACUCCCCAAAUAUUGUAAGCGGUGAUAUUUCCUUCCCGUACUGGCCUUUUCAUUUCCAUCAUUAAAAGCCACGACUUACAAUUCAGGAGGCAUUCCCUAGCUCCCUCCUCAAACUCCAACUUUCAUAUGUUCAUUGGAGCAAAAGGGAAACAGUAGUAGUAAGGAACACAUAAAUUAAUUACUUAUGCUAGAAUAUCCACUUUCAUUUCCAUCAUUGAAAUCUAACAAUUACAGUACCAUCAGGCAUCACUAGUUCCCUUCUAGGAGUCCAACUUUGAAAUAUUCUUUGGAGCAGAAGGGCAACUGCUAGUAACAUAACAAAUUUUCCAAUAGUGAAUUACUUUUGGCGUUUGUAGACCUUCAUAGAUUCAGGAGGCAUUCACUAGCUCCCUUCUCAGACUCUUUAACUUUCAUACGUUCGAUGGAGCAUCAGGACAACCGUAGUAACAAUGAUAAAACAAAUUAAAUUUGCUUGUUCGAACACCCACGCUCAUUGAAAUCUAACGCUUAUGGUACCAAAAGGCAUCACUAGUUCCCUUCUAGGACUCCAACUUUAAUAUAUUCUUUCCAUCAAUAAAACCCAACGUUUAUAGCUUCACGAGGCAUUCAAUAGUUCUGUUCCGUCCUCGGACUCCAUCAUUGAAAUCCGACACUUAUAGUACGAAAAGGCAUUGACUGGUUCCCUUCUAGGACUCCAACUUUAAUAUAUUCUUUGGAGCAGAAGGGCAACCACGAGGAACAUAAAAAUCGGCCAAGACUGACUUUCAUUUCCAUCAUUCAAAUCCAACGAUUAUAAUUUCAUAAGGCAUUCCCUAGUUCCCUCCUAGGACUCCAACUUUAAUAUAUUAUUUGGAGCAAAAGGGCAACCGCAAGGAACAUAACAAAUCCAGCAACAAUGAAUUUCGUUUCAUGAGGCAUUCACUAAUUUCCUCUUCGAACUCCAUCUUUCAUAUGUUUAUUGGAGCAGUAGGGCAACCGAAGCAGCAAGGGGCAAAAAAAAUAAUUUCAGGAGGCAUUCCCUAGAUCCCUCCUAGGACUCCACCUUUCAUAUGUUCAUUGGAGCAGAAGGGCAACCGCAGUAGCAAGGAGCGAACAACAUAAAUUUUCCUGUUAGAACACCCACUUUCAUCUCCAUCUAACUUCCCUAGUUCCCUCCUAGGACUCCAACUUUAAUAUAUUAUUUGGAGCAAAAGGGCAACUGCAAGGAACAUAACAAAUCCACCAACAAUGAAUUUCGUUUCACGAGGCAUUCACUAAGUUCCUCUUCGAACUCUAUCUUUCAUAUGUUUAUUGGAGCAGUAGGGCAACCGAAGCAGCAAGGGGCAAAAAAAAUAAUUUCAGGAGGCAUUCCCUAGAUCCCUCCUAGGACUCCACCUUUCAUAUGUUCAUUGGAGCAGAAGGGCAACCGCAGUAGCAAGGAGCGAACAACAUAAAUUUUCCUGUUAGAACACCCACUUUCAUCUCCAUCUAACACUUAUAAAUUUGAAGGCCUUCACUAGUUCCCUUAUAGGACUCAACUUUGAUAUAUUCUUUGGAGCAGAAGGGCAACCGUAAAGAACAUAACAAAUCUGCCAACACCGACUUUCAUUUUCAUCAUUAAAAUACAACAUUUAGAGUUUUAGAAGGCAUUCACUAGUUUCCGCCACGGACUCCAACUUUCAUCACAUUUGUAUUUGAUUAGCAGCUAACAGCAAAGAGGUAUGCCUUAUUUUAUAAUGACACUUGCAAUACUCAUCAUCUUGAUACCACAACCAGCGUAUUGUUGUGUCAUUUUGGACUAAUAUUCUAACCCCAAAAUCAAUAGACAAUAGACAGGAUAAGAGACAGGAAACUAUGCUAAGAGCAUAAACUUGUACAGAGUAGAUAGCAAGCCACUCAAAAAUGAACAUUCCUGGUAGUCAAUUUUGCGUAGAUAGAAUCAUAUCACCGAGAGAAGAUCAAAACAUCAAACAAAAACAACUAGAAAUGUCUUUAUCCCACAAGCUAGUAAUAGAGAGCCAAUUAUUACUGUGACCCGCAACAACAUCAAGGCGCUUUCAAGAAUUACCUAAAAGACCGAGCAUGGAAUCGUUUCCCAAAACCUAAUAAAACCUUAGUACUCAAACACGAACCAUGGGAACUUGUCCUGGUAGCUUAGGUGUAUAAAAGAUGAACAGUAAUCCCAGAAUAAUACAUCAGAGGCGUAGAGGUUUUGUUGUUUACCAAAAAAAAUCUCGUUUUGAGCACUUGUAGCAUCCAUGUUCGGCAACAGGAACCUUACCCAUUACACGAAGGCGUAAAAUUUUAGAGCUUUGAAGAGAGAAACAUGAAACUUAGCAACCAAGAUUUCUCAUCCGAUUACCCACAACAAGACCGAUAACACAAUUUGACGUAAUCAGAUACUACCCCCAAAUUGAACGGACGGAUUGAGGAAAGGAAAUUCGAAACCAGAGGGACAUAUAAACAUAGCUAAUUUACCGGCCAUACCUUAGAAUACCCACACAAGCUCUAAUUCCGAGAACCCUCCACCCUUUUCCGACUCCAAAGGUCCUCUCCCCAAAGGUUUCCGUCGAUCCGGCAAUCCCACACGAGCCGUUGUUUCCGCUUACCGAUCUCCUGACCGCCAACAUAGCUCUGAUGGCCUCUCGUCACCGGACACGAGAUCUCCAUGACCCUAGGAACUCCCAACCUCUCUCCACCGGACCUCCACGUGCUCCGCUUCCUUAGUUGUUUUCCAGGAGAAAUCGCCAAGAUUUUGGAAUCUUUAUCCCUCGUCCCCUAAUGCCCCU
rnacentral:lncRNA from 1 species